rnacentral:lncRNA from 1 species
AAUUUGGUUGGCUUGAUUUUUUGAGAUUAUGCGUUAUUUUCUUAUCUCUUAUUCAAUGUUCUAACAUUUGAAUUUUUGAAGGAUGGAGUAUUAUUUAGAUAGGGAGUUGAGACGGAUGGCGGGGAAAGCUACUUGGAACAAUAGCUUUGAGAGUUUUACUACUGUGUUGAAGUUGCUCGAUGAUCAUCACGGAGAUAUGCUACGACAAUCCUUCUUGUGGCCACUGUACCAGAUGUGAAAGAGGUGCAGUACUUAGGACAGAUCAUCGAUGCACUUCUAUGUCAGCUUCUGAGGCCAGUCAACGGCGAUUCCCUCCACUUCGACCUCAGGGCCAGGGACUUCAGUUUCUCGAUAUAUGAGUUUAGCUUGAUCCCUGGACUGAGGAUUACGGGCGACGAUGCAGCCAUUAAGAGAAGCAAUAUGUUGUACGAGACGUACUUCCAGGGACAUGGGUCGAUGCUUCUACCCGAGUUGAUGGUCACGAUCAGGGGGUGUGACCAGAUGCUUGAUAGAUUGAAGCUUGGGCUGGUCUAUAUCCUCGAGAGUGCGAUGAGGUGUCAUCACAAGAAAACUGCCAUCGACAUUUUUCAUUUGCAAGUUGUUGACGAUAUCGAUGCGUUCAACAACUAUUCAUGGGGCCGGAGAUGCUAUGAAGAUUUCGUACAUGUCUUCACCAGAUCACACUCGAGGCCUAAGGGUCAAUGCGUAAAUACGAUACAUAUGGAUUGCCCUUAGCAGUGCAGCUAAAUGUUUAAUAUAAUUAAAAUUAAAGUUUUAGUAUAUUACAUUUAUGAAUAAUAAGUGUAUGUGUUGCAGAUUUGGGUGUAAGAGACAGCCCUUGUACUGGGAGCCCGCUCUGCGAAGCGAGGGGAGACACGAUACCCUCGGAUGCAUCAUUGGAGAUCAUCGCGAGCGGACGGAUGUCCCACUGGGAAACAGUUAUCUGCCCUCCUCGACGAUCCUCAGGUAAGUAUUGUGCAUUUGUAAUUUAUAUUAUACGUAGUUUAAAAUCUGUUUACAUGAUCAUUAACUAAUUGAAAUGUCAUUAUGUCAGUUUGAAGUCAUACCUGAGUUGACGCCGUCGAUGGAAGAGGAGGCUCGGGGUCUUGUGUGGGAUUUAGGCGUUUUGCACACCCAAGACGAGGAGAUGUCUGAUCCGAGCUUGGACCGAGAUUGAGUAUGUGAAUUAAAUAUAAUUUAUUGAAUAUCGUCGACGUAUAAAUUUAUUGAAUAAUUUUUAAUGUUAUUUAUGUAGGAGGGCGGUCCAGCUGAUCGACGAUUACUUUCGCCGAGGGUAUCGCCGCCACCAUCGGCAUCACCUCCGCCGAGAGCAUUGUCGUCGCCAUUGACAUCACCUCCGUCGAGGGCAUCAUCGCCGUCAUUGGCAUCGCCACCGCCGAGGGUAUCUCCUUCUUCCUCGUCCAGACACAUUCCCUGUGUAUCUCCGGCACACAUUGAUGAUUUGUAUGCCCGUCUGACUAGAUUUAUAGCGGAGGAGGUCGGCGUGCUACGACGAGAGUUGACGAAGAGGGUCGAUGAUUUGGGACGAGAGUUGACACGGAUGGCCGACGAUAUGGGACGAAAGUUGACAGGGAGGGUUGACGAUCUAUCCCAUGAUGUUGGAAUGCUACGGUCUUGCGUUGUCGACCUUCAAGAUACGAUAGUGGCACUUAGAGGAGAUUUAGCCGAUAGGCGAUGGGGGGACAGAGGGGAUGGUGGAGAUGAUGAUCGAGAGGGUAACAGAGAUGGCGAUGGGAGGGGGGUCACCUACAUUUUUGGCGUGAUGAGACAUUAGAAUCAUUGUGGUUAUCUAUGGAUGCAGAGUGGGUGGCCCCGAUGGCGAUGAGAAAGGGGAUGACGGAGGGGGUGGCCUCGAUCGGAGGGGGCGGACGGAGGUGGCGACCGAGGAGGUGGCCCCGGAGGUCGAGAGGACGCCCAUCGUGAUUGAGGGUAAGAGACAUGCUGUUGAUGAGAUGGAGCAGGUGGUUGGCAAAAGGUUGAGAGUGCCGUCAUAGUAUGUUAUUUCCCCCUUCACGGUUGAGGUCAAGAGGAGGACGUUCAUCGAUGGGACGCACCCGACUUAUUCAGGGAGGUGGACAACGCCAAGUGAAAAGCAUUCGAGAUGGAGUGGAGGAGAAUUAUCCCUGGGUAAGUAUUGUAUGAUUUUAAUAAAACAUUGUAUGCUAACUUGUCUAUGCUUAUUUUAACAUUUUCCUUUUUUUUAGAGUUAGUCGCACGAUAGGUAACCGAACAGUAUCGGACCCUUACAAGUGGUUUCACGAUAUCACCACUUCGGAAGCUUGGCUCGCCGACGAUGUAAGUGAACUAUUCAUUUCGUGUUUUUUAUGUAUACGUCACUUUGUAUUUAUUAAAUGAAUAACUCAUACUUUUUUGGUGUUUCCUGAUGCAGCACAUCGAUCUAACCAUGGACUUGCUGCGAGAUCGAGCUCAAAGACAUCCAAAAUCAUUUGACGUCCAUGGUCGAGUCAUAUUAAACACCGAGUUCCUGCGUACCGUUACCAUAGAGUAUCAGUCGCUCCAACUUAUGGGUAAUGAGUACACGGUGCGAGAAUAUAUGCUCGAGUGAGUCAUAGGAAUGUCGUCGGGUGUCGAGGGAAAAUCAUGGUGGGGUUGUACACAUAUGUACAUUACAGCGUGCAUCAAUAAGCACCAUGUUACGCUGGAAAUCGUUUUUGCUGAGACGACUAUAUAUGUGUACGACCCAGAUCAUUCAUGUUUGACACAAGGCCAGUUGGAGCAAAAUCUGUAGUCCAUAGCUGUAAUUGUUCCUAUGAUGGCCAGACGAGCGGGGAUGACUGUACAAACAGAUUGCGGAUUGUUCAGAACACGACGACAGUGCGACAGUCCAUAAGGUAAGCGUUUGAACUUUGUUGUUUUCAUCUUUCAGAUUUAGUUUUUAGCAACACAGUACUGAACUGAUCCAUUCUUGUUCAAUUGUAGCGACGACUGUGGCAUAUUUGCCAUUAAGUACGUUGAAUUUUUAAGUAUAGGAUAUAAGGUUGAUGGAAUCAACCAAUCGUGAAUACUGAACUGGAAAAAGAAGUUAGCUUGUGAUUUGUUCGAAUUUAAUGGUGACCCAUAUUUGUAUUAAAUAUAUGUAACAUUUGAAUUGUAAAUUUAAUUAUUUUUUGUGAUUAUAAAAUAAUUGUAAAUUUGUGUUCCAUGUAUAUAACAUUCACA